GUUGUAUGGUUAAGUGACUAAGCGUACACGGUGGAUGCCUGGGCAGUCAGAGGCGAUGAAGGACGUACUAACUUGCGAUAAGCGCAGAUAAGGCAGUAAGAGCCGUUUGAGUCUGCGAUUUCCGAAUGGGGAAACCCAACUGCAUAAGCAGUUACUGUUAACUGAAUACAUAGGUUAACAGAGCAAACCGGGGGAACUGAAACAUCUAAGUACCCCGAGGAGAAGAAAUCAACCGAGAUUCCGGUAGUAGCGGCGAGCGAACCUGGAUUAGCCCUUAAGCACUCGGUGAAGUAGGUGAACAAGCUGGAAAGCUUGGCGAUACAGGGUGAUAGCCCCGUAACCGACGCUUCAUCGAGCGUGAAAUCGAGUAGGGCGGGACACGUGAUAUCCUGUCUGAAUAUGGGGGGACCAUCCUCCAAGGCUAAAUACUCCUGACUGACCGAUAGUGAACCAGUACCGUGAGGGAAAGGCGAAAAGAACCCCUGUGAGGGGAGUGAAAUAGAACCUGAAACCGUGUACGUACAAGCAGUAGGAGCACCUUCGUGGUGUGACUGCGUACCUUUUGUAUAAUGGGUCAGCGACUUAUAUUCAGUGGCAAGGUUAACCGUAUAGGGGAGCCGUAGCGAAAGCGAGUCUUAACUGGGCGCUCAGUCUCUGGAUAUAGACCCGAAACCGGGUGAUCUAGCCAUGGGCAGGUUGAAGGUUGAGUAACAUCAACUGGAGGACCGAACCGACUAAUGUUGAAAAAUUAGCGGAUGACUUGUGGCUAGGGGUGAAAGGCCAAUCAAACUCGGAGAUAGCUGGUUCUCCCCGAAAGCUAUUUAGGUAGCGCCUCGGACGAAUACUACUGGGGGUAGAGCACUGUUAAGGCUAGGGGGUCAUCCCGACUUACCAACCCUUUGCAAACUCCGAAUACCAGUAAGUACUAUCCGGGAGACACACGGCGGGUGCUAACGUCCGUCGUGGAGAGGGAAACAACCCAGACCGCCAGCUAAGGUCCCAAAGUAUUGCUAAGUGGGAAACGAUGUGGGAAGGCUCAGACAGCUAGGAUGUUGGCUUAGAAGCAGCCAUCAUUUAAAGAAAGCGUAAUAGCUCACUAGUCGAGUCGGCCUGCGCGGAAGAUGUAACGGGGCUAAGCAAUACACCGAAGCUGCGGCAAUGAAGUUUACUUCAUUGGGUAGGGGAGCGUUCUGUAAGCCGUUGAAGGUGAAUCGUAAGGUUUGCUGGAGGUAUCAGAAGUGCGAAUGCUGACAUGAGUAACGACAANNAUUGCGAUGGGGGGACGGAGAAGGCUAGGUGGGCCAGGCGACGGUUGUCCUGGUUCAAGUGCGUAGGCUUAAGAGUUAGGUAAAUCCGGCUCUUUCUAAGGCUGAGACACGACGUCGAGCUGCUACGGCAGUGAAGUCAUUGAUGCCAUGCUUCCAGGAAAAGCCUCUAAGCUUCAGAUUUGAUGGAAUCGUACCCCAAACCGACACAGGUGGUCGGGUAGAGAAUACCAAGGCGCUUGAGAGAACUCGGGUGAAGGAACUAGGCAAAAUGGUACCGUAACUUCGGGAGAAGGUACGCUCUUGAUGGUGAAGUCCCUCGCGGAUGGAGCUGACGAGAGUCGCAGAUACCAGGUGGCUGCAACUGUUUAUUAAAAACACAGCACUGUGCAAAAUCGCAAGAUGACGUAUACGGUGUGACGCCUGCCCGGUGCCGGAAGGUUAAUUGAUGGGGUUAGCGUAAGCGAAGCUCUUGAUCGAAGCCCCGGUAAACGGCGGCCGUAACUAUAACGGUCCUAAGGUAGCGAAAUUCCUUGUCGGGUAAGUUCCGACCUGCACGAAUGGCGUAAUGAUGGCCACGCUGUCUCCACCCGAGACUCAGUGAAAUUGAAAUCGCUGUGAAGAUGCAGUGUACCCGCGGCUAGACGGAAAGACCCCGUGAACCUUUACUACAGCUUGGCACUGAACAUUGAACCUACAUGUGUAGGAUAGGUGGGAGGCUAUGAAGACGUGACGCUAGUUGCGUUGGAGCCGUCCUUGAAAUACCACCCUUGUAUGUUUGAUGUUCUAACUUAGACCCAUUAUCUGGGUUGAGGACAGUGCCUGGUGGGUAGUUUGACUGGGGCGGUCUCCUCCCAAAGAGUAACGGAGGAGCACGAAGGUGGGCUAAUCACGGUUGGACAUCGUGAGGUUAGUGCAAUGGCAUAAGCCCGCUUAACUGCGAGAAUGACGGUUCGAGCAGGUGCGAAAGCAGGUCAUAGUGAUCCGGUGGUUCUGUAUGGAAGGGCCAUCGCUCAACGGAUAAAAGGUACUCCGGGGAUAACAGGCUGAUACCGCCCAAGAGUUCAUAUCGACGGCGGUGUUUGGCACCUCGAUGUCGGCUCAUCACAUCCUGGGGCUGAAGUCGGUCCCAAGGGUAUGGCUGUUCGCCAUUUAAAGUGGUACGCGAGCUGGGUUUAGAACGUCGUGAGACAGUUCGGUCCCUAUCUGCCGUGGGCGUUGGAAGAUUGAAGGGGGCUGCUCCUAGUACGAGAGGACCGGAGUGGACGAACCUCUGGUGUUCGGGUUGUGUCGCCAGACGCAUUGCCCGGUAGCUAAGUUCGGAAUCGAUAACCGCUGAAAGCAUCUAAGCGGGAAGCGAGCCCUGAGAUGAGUCUUCCCUGACAGUUUAACUGUCCUAAAGGGUUGUUCGAGACUAGAACGUUGAUAGGCAGGGUGUGUAAGCGUUGUGAGGCGUUGAGCUAACCUGUACUAAUUGCCCGUGAGGCUUAACCAUACAACACCCAAGGGGUUUUGUA
rnacentral:rRNA from 1 species